UACGUAGGCAGCAAGCGUUGUUCGGAGUUACUGGGCGUAAAGGGUGUGUAGGCGGUUGUUUAAGUUUGGUGUGAAAUCUCCCGGCUCAACCGGGAGGGUGCGCCGAAUACUGAGUGACUAGAGUGCGGGAGAGGAAAGUGGAAUUCCUGGUGUAGCGGUGAAAUGCGUAGAUAUCAGGAGGAACACCGGUGGUGUAGACGGCUUUCUGGACCGUAACUGACGCUGAGGCGCGAAAGCUAGGGGAGCAAACAGG
rnacentral:rRNA from 1 species